rnacentral:misc_RNA from 1 species
GAUGAAUAACGUAGCGAAAUGCGAUAAGUAAUGCGAAUUGCAGAUCUCCGUGAGUCAUUGAAUCUUUGAACGCACAUUGCGCCCUCGGGUAUUCCCGAGGGCAUGCCUGUCCGAGCGUCAUUAUCCAACCAUCAAGCUCGGCUUGCGGUUGAGCCCCGCACCGUCCCCGGGACGGUGGGCUCGAAACAUGUUGGGCGCCCGUGAGGUUGUCGGUGCAGCGAGCUCUCGAGCACGUGCCGGGCAACCGCUCUGGGCGUCGGCCAGCCCCCCCAUUUUCUCAGGUUGACCUCGGAUCAGGUAGGAAUACCCGCUGAACUUAAGCAUAUCAAUAAGCGGAGGA